rnacentral:rRNA from 1 species
UCUAGAAUAAAUUUAAUAAUAAACGAAGUGAUAGUGAAAUAUCUCAGUAACUUCAGGAAAAGAAAUCAAAAGAGAUUCUAUGAAUAGCGUGAGCAAAAGUAGAUAAGUCUAUUAAGUAAAAUGGUUUAUAAACUGUUUGAACGGGGAACCUUCCUCAAAGACUAAAUAUGAUACAUAAGCGAUAGAUAAUGGGUCCGUGAGGUAAUUAGAAGUUAGUAGUAAUUUUAUAAGCAGUUCUAAUAAAUUUAGUUAAAGAACGUACCUUUUGCAUAAUGGGUCACAAGUUAACAUUAGAUGCGAGAGAAAAUUUCGUAGUUAAACCAAACAUUAAAAUAACGAUUAGUGUCUAAAGUUAGACCGAAGCUAGUGAAUUUACUAUGAUCAGAUUAUAAAGUCCGAACGGUGAUAUGCCAAAAUCUCCGAAGAAUCUGUAGUAUAGUGAAAGACAAUACUGACUAGGAUAGCUGGUUUUCUGCGAAACCUAUAACAGUAGGCAAUUUAAUUAAAUAUCUUAGCAGUACAGAAUUUAAUCUCAGGCAGUGAUAUAUUCCCAAAUUGGGGAACCUAAAAAUUUUAUCAAUAAAUAUAUAAACUCGGAAUGGCAAAGAUAUAACAUGAAUGAUCAGACAUAGAAUGAUAAGGAUGAAUGUCAAAAGGGAAACCGCCCAGAACCAGAGGAAAGGGACCUAAA